ensembl:lncRNA
GCACAACCCUCCAACCUUGCCAAGGCCACGGACUUGGAAAAUUCACGCUGGCUUCCAGUGCCCCACUGCAGGCUAGGACCUCUAAUGUGAUGCUGAAGAACAAAUACCCCUGCCUUGUUCCUGAUGUUAGAGGAAAAGUGAUCAGCCUUUCACCACCAAGUACAGAGGUUCCAGAUCGAAAGCCUGUGGACACGCUGUCCUUCCAGUCUGUGUUGCCACUGGCCAGGAGGCGGCUCCUUCCUGAAGCUCCAAGCACAGGGCCGGCCUUACAGCAACCACCCGUGAACGUCACCUUUGUUCACCAAAGCAUCACAGCGUCAACUCCAGCCUGCGUGUCAUGUCCUGACCACCCUCAGCUGCAGUCUGUGGUCUACUUACCAGUUUUGGGCAAUCAUCUGUAAGCCAAGUACUUUCUCUCUCCCUGCUAAUGCAGGUCACUUGUAGAGGAAAAAACAACUAACUUUAGGUGGUUUUACAGCUUGAGGCAAGCAAGAUGAAUCUCUUGUUUCGUUGCAUGCUCAACUAAUAGGCACGCCUCUGAGUUUUUUUUUUUUUAAUCUUUGGCCGAGCUGCUUGGCAUGUGGGAUCUGAGUUCCUGACCAGGGAUUGAACCCUGUGAUGAAGUGGGGAGUCUUAACC